GCUAAAAAUCUAGCCCAUACCUUUUCUUCACAUUAUUAAUGACAGCUUAAAAUAUUUUAAUAUUUAAGUAAGGACGACCAAAAAACUAACAAGAGCUAUACUAAAGUACCGCAAGGGAAAGAUGAAAUAUAAAUGAAACACGACAAGCACGAAAAAGUAAAGAUUACAACUUGUACCUUUUGCAUCAUGGUUUAACUAGUACAAUCAAGCAAAAAGAUUUUUAGUUUGCCCCCCGAAACUGAAUGAGCUACUUCAGGGCAGCUUACUGAGCUAACCCGUCCCUGUUGCAAGAGGGUGGGAAGACCCUGCAGUAGCGGUGAUAAGCCUAACGAAUUCAGUGAUAGCUGGUUUCUCAGGAAAAGAAUUUUAGUCCAACCUAAAGCCACAAAAUAAAUUAAAUUACUAACUUUAGAGCAAUUCAAAUAAGGUACAGCCUGUUUGAUAUAGGACACAACCUCGAACAACGGCUAAUUUGUCACAACAUAGAUUAAGUGGGCCUAAAAGCAGCCACCUUUGAAGGGCGUCAAAGCCUAAUUUUUCCCACACUAAAUACCACAACCCACAAAGAACCCUUCAUCACUACUGAGUACUUCUAUACCCCUAUAGAAAUUUUUAUGUUAAAACUAGUAACAAGAAGACACUUCUCUUUAAAUGCAAGCAUAAAUCAGAACGGAACCCCCACUGAUAAUCACGCCCCGCGACAGCAACCACCCAACCUCGAAAACCCUGUCUUUUUCAAUCGUUAACCUAACACAAGAGCAUUUCAAGAAAGAUUUUAAAAAAAAGAAGGAACUCGGCAAAUAUUGAUUCCGCCUGUUUACCAAAAACAUCGCCUCUUGAUUAAAUAUAGGAGGUCCGACCUGCCCAGUGACAUCAAUUCAACGGCCGCGGUACUCUGACCGCGCUAAGGUAGCACAAUCACUUGUCUCCUAAAUAGGGACUAGUAUCAAAGGACCCACGAGAACCUAACUGUCUCCUUUUUUUAAUCUGUGAAACUAAUUUCCUCGUGAAAAAGCGAGAAUGACCAUAUAAGACGAGAAGACCCUACGGAGCUUUAGAUAAAACAAUACUUUCUUUCCCCUGUCACCUUCAGAGAACCACCCACUAAAGCAUUUUAUUGUUUAUCUUCGGUUGGGGCGACCGCGGAGUAAAAUCUACCCUCCACGCUGAAUGAGGACACCCCUCCUCCCCCCGAGCCACAGCUCUACGCAUCAAAAAAUUGACAAUUGACCCAAUAUUUGAUCAACGAAACAAGUUACCCUAGGGAUAACAGCGCAAUCUACUUCAAGAGUCCAUAUUGACAAGUAGGUUUACGACCUCGAUGUUGGAUCAGGGUACCCUAGUGGUGCAGCCGCUACUAAAGGUUUGUGUGUUCAACAAUUAAAACCCUACGUGAUCUGAGU
rnacentral:rRNA from 1 species